rnacentral:rRNA from 1 species
UACAGGCCUAACACAUGCAAGUCGAGGGGCAGCAUGAUCAAAGCUUGCUUUGAUUGAUGGCGACCGGCGCACGGGUGAGUAACGCGUAUCCAACCUUCCCCUUAGUAGGGCAUAGCCCGUAGAAAUGCGGAUUAAUACCCUAUGUUAUUCGUCGAGGACAUCUGAAGUGAAUCAAAGGUUUACCGCUAAGGGAUGGGGAUGCGUCUGAUUAGGUUGUUGGCGGGGUAACGGCCCACCAAGCCUACGAUCAGUAGGGGUUCUGAGAGGAAGGUCCCCCACAUUGGUACUGAGACACGGACCAAACUCCUACGGGAGGCAGCAGUGAGGAAUAUUGGUCAAUGGGCGAGAGCCUGAACCAGCCAAGUAGCGUGCAGGAUGACUGCCCUAUGGGUUGUAAACUGCUUUUAUAGGGGAAUAAAGUGAGGUAUGUAUACCUUUUUGUAUGUACCCUAUGAAUAAGGACCGGCUAAUUCCGUGCCAGCAGCCGCGGUAAUACUGAAGGUCCGGGCGUUAUCCGGAUUUAUUGGGUUUAAAGGGAGCGCAGGCGGGAUAUUAAGCGUGACGUGAAAUGUAGUGCUCAACAUCUGCACUGCGUCGCGAACUGGUAUCCUUGAGUGCAUUCGACGCUGG